rnacentral:rRNA from 1 species
UACGUAGGGGCCGAGCGUUGUCCGGAGUUACUGGGCGUAAAGCGCGCGCAGGCGGUCUCUUUAGCCCGGCGGGAAAGCCCCCGGCUCAACCGGGGAGGGUCGUCGGGGACUGGGAGACUUGAGGACGGCAGGGGCUGGUGGAAUCCCCGGUGUAGUGGUGAAAUGCGUAGAGAUCGGGGGGGAACACCCGUGGCGAAGGCGGCCAGCUGGGCCGGUCCUGACGCUGAGGCGCGAAGGCGUGGGGAGCGAACAGG